ACAGGAUUACUGAACUACAGGAAAAGGCUGAAUUUCCAUGGAGAAUGAGAGGAGGUUUUGAAAGACGUGUACAAAAUGAAUGCAAAUGGACUUUUUUCACUGAGGUUGGGUGAGACUAGAACUGCAGUUCAUAGGUUGUGGGUGAAAGGUGAAAUGUUUAAGGGAAACCUGAGGGGAUCUUUUUCACUCGGAGAGUGGAACGAACUGUCAGCACACGUUGUACACGUAGAACGAAGUGCAGCAUUUAACAGAAGUUUGGGAAAUGCCAGUAAGCAAUCUCGACCAGGCUGCAGGAGGCUGUCGAGAUCAUGGCCUGAGAAGUGAUACCAGUCAUUUCCUUGAGUCAGAGCAGAUGUCCUGCGUUUCCCCGGCUGUGAUGUUGCAAGAUGCUACCUGACCUGCUGAGUUCCUCCAGCUUUUGGUUUGUGUUGAUCUGGAUUUCCAGCAUCUGCAGAGUCUCUCGUAUCCAAGCUGUUGCAAUUUGGCCAGGUGGAGACUGGCAGACAGCUGCAGAGAGUCCUCAGUUCCAAAAUCGCCAUGGCCCAUUCAGUCAUAAAUACAUAAAUGUCCAAGCCCCUCAUUACGACAAUGUCCGUCACUUUCUUGCUUGGACAAAGAUGGUGGCCAUGCCACACUGUGACAGCUGCUGCAGUUGGUUGUUACUUGGAGCCGGCUCGGUUACAAUUCUAGGGAGAUUUAAUGCCGUAGUUUGGUGGAAAACUGAUACAGUGCUGUGACCAUUAAUGUUAGUUACCCUGGUGAGACACUGCAUGACUGUCCUGAGGACGAUAUGUUACUGCACAAGCAACUAAUCUGUGUACGCUUGUUGCCGCCAAAUGCUCAGACUCAAUUUUACUGAAGAUGGAACAGGUUUGAGGGGCUGAAUGGCCACAUCCUGGGCUUUGCUGGUGGAACGAUCCCUGUGCCAUUUGGUCUGCUGAGAGAAGAGCCUUCGGCGUUUGCAGGGUGACUGAAAUCUUAGAUAUCAUAUCUACAUCCCCAUCUCUCCGUUUUCCUCAGGGAUCCCUCCCUCCACAAUUCCGUUGUCCAUUCAUCCCUCCUGGUACCUAUCCCUGCAAGCAGCUGAAGUACUACACCUGUCCUAUCACUUCCUCCCUCACCUCCAUUCAGAGCCCCAAACAGUCCUUCCAAUGAGGCCACACUUCACCUGCAGGCCCGUUGUGUCCGCUGCUCCCGAUGCGGCCUCUUCUACAU